AGACAUGGAGAACCCCAUCCUCCCAAGGACA
rnacentral:tRNA from 1 species